GCCUUCGUGGUGUAACGGUAGCACACUCGGCGCAUAUUCGAGAGGUCCAGGUUCGAGUCCCGGUGAGAACA
rnacentral:tRNA from 1 species